GAUGAACGCUGGCGGCGUGCCUAAUACAUGCAAGUCGAACGAAGAUCUAGCUUGCUAGAUCUUAGUGGCGAACGGGUGAGUAAUACAUAAAUAAUCUGCCCAUAUGACUGGGAUGACUAUUGGAAACGAUAGCUAAUACCGGAUAGGUUGAUCGGAGGCAUCUCUGAUGAAUUAAAGUAGGAUUUCUACACAAAUGGAUGAGUUUAUGGCGCAUUAGUUAGUUGGUGGGGUAACGGCCUACCAAGACGAUGAUGCGUAGCCGACCUGAGAGGGUGACCGGCCACACUGGGACUGAGACACGGCCCAGACUCCUACGGGAGGCAGCAGUAGGGAAUUUUCGGCAAUGGGCGCAAGCCUGACCGAGCAACGCCGCGUGAGUGAUUAAGGCCUUCGGGUUGUAAAGCUCUGUUGUAAGGGAAGAACAUUCAGGAUAGGAAAUGAUCUUGAACUGACGGUACCUUACCAGAAAGCCACGGCUAACUACGUGCCAGCCGCCGCCGUAA
rnacentral:rRNA from 1 species